AGCUCCAAUAGCGUAUAUUAAAAUUGUUGCGGUUAAAAAGCUCGUAGUUGGAUUUCAGACGCGAUAACUGAGUGGGUCCAUUAGGGCUCUACUUGGAUAAUCCGUCUCGUAAGCCUGUUCGUUGCUUAGAUCGCUCUUCAUUGAGUGUCUUAGCGCACGGCAUGUUUACCUUGAAAAAACUAAAGUGCUCAAAGCAGACCAUUUAUGCGUCUGUAUAUUGGUGCAUGGAAUAAUGGAAAAGGAUUCGGUUACUAUUUUGUUGAUUUUCAGUAUUAAUAGCCGAAUAAUGAUUAACAGAGGUAUACGGGGGCGAAAGCAUGGUCGAGCUAGAGGUGAAAUUCAUGGAUCUUGGCCAGGCUAACUACUGCGAAAGCAUUUGCCAAGGAUGCUUUCAUUAAUC
rnacentral:rRNA from 1 species